GCGACUUGUAGGCCUUGGUGGUGGCGGCAUUGAAGGAUUUUAGCCGCUUGGAGACCACUUGGACUCAUGAGGUGGCUGUCGGAAGCAUCGCAGCAGUUUGAGCUCUUGAAUUGGGGUACACCGGGCACGUCCCGUCAACCUUGAGCUGUCAGAUUUGAAGCUCGAGGUAUUUUGAAGAGUUUGUGAGCACGCCACAGGUUUUGGCAGACCCGGGGCAGCAGGUUGAUCGGAUGGCUUCACUCACGUCCUACUGGAGAGGUUUUGAGUUUUGUUUUCUUAUGUAGUGCCGGCGCGUCUUGGUUGAUUUGUAUUGAUGUCAUGUUUUUGUUAGACAUUAAUCAUACAGU